rnacentral:rRNA from 1 species
GUGGUUUAAUUCGAAGCAACGCGCAGAACCUUACCAGGUCUUGACAUGCUGGGAUUAAUUGGAUGAAAGUCCGAGGAUUGCCCGCAAGGGUGUAACCAGCACAGGUGCUGCAUGGCUGUCGUCAGCUCGUGCCGUGAGGUGUCAGGUUAAGUCCUUUAACGAGCGAAACCCCUACGUCGAGUUGCCAGCGGGUAAAGCCGGGAACUCUCGACGGACUGCCGCGCAAGCUGGAGGAAGGAGGGGACGACGUCAAGUCAUCAUGGCCUUUAUGACCUGGGCCACACACGUCCUACAAUGGGUGGUAUAAUGGGAAGCAAGGCCGCAAGGCGGAGCCAAUCCAGGAAAGCCACCCUCAGUUCGGAUAGUGGGCUGCAAUUCGCCCACUUGAAGCUGGAAUCGCUAGUAAUCGCGGAUCAGCCACGCCGCGGUGAAUAUGUUCCUGAGCCUUGUACACACCG